UACGAAGGGGGGCUAGCGUUGCUCGGAAUCACUGGGCGUAAAGCGCACGUAGGCGGAUUGCUAAGUCAGGGGUGAAAUCCUGGAGCUCAACUCCAGAACUGCCUUUGAUACUGGCGACCUUGAGUCCGGGGAGAGGUGAGUGGAACUGCGAGUGUAGAGGUGAAAUUCGUAGAUAUUCGCAAGAACACCAGUGGCGAAGGCGGCUCACUGGCCCGGUACUGACGCUGAUGUGUGAAAGCGUGGGGAGCAACAGG
rnacentral:rRNA from 1 species